rnacentral:rRNA from 1 species
GACGAACGCUGGCGGCGUGCUUAACACAUGCAAGUCGAACGGAAAGGCCCUGCUUUUGUGGGGUGCUCGAGUGGCGAACGGGUGAGUAACACGUGAGUAACCUGCCCUUGACUUUGGGAUAACUUCAGGAAACUGGGGCUAAUACCGGAUAGGAGCUCCUGCUGCAUGGUGGGGGUUGGAAAGUUUCGGCGGUUGGGGAUGGACUCGCGGCUUAUCAGCUUGUUGGUGGGGUAGUGGCUUACCAAGGCUUUGACGGGUAGCCGGCCUGAGAGGGUGACCGGCCACAUUGGGACUGAGAUACGGCCCAGACUCCUACGGGAGGCAGCAGUGGGGAAUAUUGCACAAUGGGCGGAAGCCUGAUGCAGCAACGCCGCGUGCGGGAUGACGGCCUUCGGGUUGUAAACCGCUUUCGCCUGUGACGAAGCGUGAGUGACGGUAAUGGGUAAAGAAGCACCGGCUAACUACGUGCCAGCAGCCGCGGUGAUACGUAGGGUGCGAGCGUUGUCCGGAUUUAUUGGGCGUAAAGGGCUCGUAGGUGGUUGAUCGCGUCGGAAGUGUAAUCUUGGGGCUUAACCCCUGAGCGUGCUUUCGAUACGGGUUGACUUGAGGAAGGUAGGGGAGAAUGGAAUUCCUGGUGGAGCGGUGGAAUGCGCAGAUAUCAGGAGGAACACCAGUGGCGAAGGCGGUUCUCUGGGCCUUUCCUGACGCUGAGGAGCGAAAGCGUGGGGAGCGAACAGGCUUAGAUACCCUGGUAGUCCACGCUGUAAACGGUGGGUACUAGGUGUGGGGUCCAUUCCACGGGUUCCGUGCCGUAGCUAACGCUUUAAGUACCCCGCCUGGGGAGUACGGCCGCAAGGCUAAAACUCAAAGGAAUUGACGGGGCCCCGCACAAGCGGCGGAGCAUGCGGAUUAAUUCGAUGCAACGCGUAGAACCUUACCUGGGUUUGACAUGGAUCGGGAGCGCUCAGAGAUGGGUGUGCCUCUUUUGGGGUCGGUUCACAGGUGGUGCAUGGCUGUCGUCAGCUCGUGUCGUGAGAUGCUGGGUUAAGUCCCGCAACGAGCGCAACCCUUGUUCACUGUUGCCAGCACGUUAUGGUGGGGACUCAGUGGAGACCGCUGGGGUCAACUCGGAGGAAGGUGGGGAUGACGUCAAGUCAUCAUGCCCCUUAUGUCCAGGGCUUCACGCAUGCUACAAUGGCUGGUACAGAGAGUGGCGAGCCUGUGAGGGUGAGCGAAUCUCGGAAAGCCGGUCUCAGUUCGGAUUGGGGUCUGCAACUCGACCUCAUGAAGUCGGAGUCGCUAGUAAUCGCAGAUCAGCAACGCUGCGGUGAAUACGUUCCCGGGGCU